GUGGGGAAUAUUGGACAAUGGGGGGAACCCUGAUCCAGCCAUGCCGCGUGUGUGAAGAAGGCCUUUUGGUUGUAAAGCACUUUAAGCGAGGAGGAGGCUACCUUGGUUAAUACCUAGGGAUAGUGGACGUUACUCGCAGAAUAAGCACCGGCUAACUCUGUGCCAGCAGCCGCGGUAAUACAGAGGGUGCGAGCGUUAAUCGGAUUUACUGGGCGUAAAGCGUGCGUAGGCGGCUUUUUAAGUCGGAUGUGAAAUCCCCGAGCUUAACUUGGGAAUUGCAUUCGAUACUGGGAAGCUAGAGUAUGGGAGAGGAUGGUAGAAUUCCAGGUGUAGCGGUGAAAUGCGUAGAGAUCUGGAGGAAUACCGAUGGCGAAGGCAGCCAUCUGGCCUAAUACUGACGCUGAGGCACGAAAGCAUGGGGAGCAAACAGGAUUAGAAACCCUAGUAGUCC
rnacentral:rRNA from 1 species